rnacentral:lncRNA from 1 species
UUUGUUCCAGGAUAUGCAUCAUUUCUAGUAUAGUUGUUUCUAGGUUGGAAUUCAUUUCUAGGUGUUCUAAGAGGUUCAAAAUUCCUUCUAGUGUUUGGCCUAGAAUGUGCAUUAUUUCUAGCAUGAUUAUUUCUAGGUUGCGAAUUGAUGAAAACCAUUUCUAGGUUUGUUGUAUCUAGGAUGAACAUUUGUUUUAUUUAUCCUAGGUUGAGCCUUAGGAGGUUGGGGGUUGGCUUCAACUUUCUCUUUAGGCUCGUUUCUAAAACCUAUGCCAUGCUUGGUCGACUUCAAAUUAACAAGCACUUCAUUCAAAUUUUNNN